CCUACGGGAGGCAGCAGUGGGGAAUUUUGGACAAUGGGCGAAAGCCUGAUCCAGCAAUGCCGCGUGAGUGAAGAAGGCCUUCGGGUUGUAAAGCUCUUUUGUCAGGGAAGAAACGGUGUGGGCUAAUAUCCUGCACUAAUGACGGUACCUGAAGAAUAAGCACCGGCUAACUACGUGCCAGCAGCCGCGGUAAUACGUAGGGUGCAAGCGUUAAUCGGAAUUACUGGGCGUAAAGCGUGCGCAGGCGGUUUUGUAAGUCUGUCGUGAAAUCCCCGGGCUCAACCUGGGAAUUGCGAUGGAGACUGCAAGGCUAGAAUCUGGCAGAGGGGGGUAGAAUUCCACGUGUAGCAGUGAAAUGCGUAGAGAUGUGGAGGAACACCGAUGGCGAAGGCAGCCCCCUGGGUCAAGAUUGACGCUCAUGCACGAAAGCGUGGGGAGCAAACAGGAUUAGAUACCCUGGUAGUCCACGCCCUAAACGAUGUCUACUAGUUGUCGGGUUUUAAUUAACUUGGUAACGCAGCUAACGCGUGAAGUAGACCGCCUGGGGAGUACGGUCGCAAGAUUAAAACUCAAAGGAAUUGACGG
rnacentral:rRNA from 1 species